rnacentral:miRNA from 15 species
CUACUGCCCUAAAUGCCCCUUCUGGC